rnacentral:rRNA from 1 species
AGCAACGCCGCGUGAGUGAUGAAGGCUUUCGGGUCGUAAAACUCUGUUGUUAGGGAAGAACAAGUACGAGAGUAACUGCUCGUACCUUGACGGUACCUAACCAGAAAGCCACGGCUAACUACGUGCCAGCAGCCGCGGUAAUACGUAGGUGGCAAGCGUUAUCCGGAAUUAUUGGGCGUAAAGCGCGCGCAGGCGGUUUCUUAAGUCUGAUGUGAA